AGCGAACGCUGGCGGCAGGCCUAACACAUGCAAGUCGAACGGCAGCACCGUAAGUGCUUGCUCUUACGGGUGGCGAGUGGCGGACGGGUGAGGUAUAUAUCGGAAUCUACAUUUUCGUGGGGGAUAACGUAGGGAAAGUUACUCUAAGACCGCAUAUGACCUACGGGUGAAAGCAGGGGAUCUUCUGGCCUUGUGCGAUUGAAUGAGCCGAUGUCGGAUUAGCUAGUUGGGGGGGUAAAGGCCCACCAAGGCGACGAUCCGUAGCUGGUCUGAGAGGAUGGUCCGCGACAUUGGAAGUGAGACAGGGUCCCGACGCCUACGGGAGGACGCAGUCGGGAAUAUUAGACAAUGGGGGAAAGCCUGAUCCAGCGAGACGGCGUGGGUGAAGAAGGCGUUCGGGUUGGAAAGCCCUUUUGUUGGGAAAAAAAAGCAGCAGGUUAAUACCACGCUGUACUGACGGUACCCGAAGAAGAAGCACCGGCUAACUUCGUG
rnacentral:rRNA from 1 species